CUAACCGCAAGGAGGCAGCUAACCACGGUAGGGUCAGCGACUGGGGUGAAGUCGUAACAAGGUAGCCGUAGGGGAACCUGCGGCUGGAUCACCUCCUUUCUAAGGA
rnacentral:rRNA from 1 species